rnacentral:piRNA from 1 species
UNCCCAGGGGCUUAACCAUGAUCAAGAUUCU